CGUUCCCGGGCCUUGUACACACCGCCCGUCACACCAUGGGAGUUGGUUUACCCGAAGCCGGUGUGCUAACCCGCAAGGGAGGUAGCCGACCACGGUAAGGUCAGCGACUGGGGUG
rnacentral:rRNA from 1 species